GUCCAAAAACGAUAGACAUUCUCAACUUAAUUUCUUAAUAAUCUUAUGUUGUUAUUUAGGUAUGUUAGAGAGAUUGUAUUCAAGUCUUGAAGGCAUGUUGGUACUAACAAUCACACUAAUAAGUGUGAGUAAUAUAAAAUUCUGCUCGUGGAAAGUGUGGCCAGGGAAUUGAUUGGUUGUUUUGAUGUGAUUAAUCACUUUUAUGAAAGAAAGUAUAUUAAAGCUCAAGCUUCAAGCUUUAUGUAGAUCUUGAAAAAAAAAUGGAGAUCCAUCUCAAAUGAUAUUUAGAGAUACAUCGAAGAGAGAAAGAGAGUUGUGCUAUGAUAUAGUUAAGGGUGUAAAAGCUUUCCAUAGUUGAGGUUGAUUCCUUAACGCUCCAAACAAAAAGUAAAUUUGCAUGGCUUCCAUUGAUAGGGUAACAAGAGGGUGUGAAGAUUUGUACAGAGGUUGAUUCCUUAACACGGUAAACAAAAAGAAGAGGUUUUCAAGAUUUGUACAGUGGUUGAUUCCUUAACACGGCAAACAAAAGAAGAGGUUGAUUCCUUAACACUGCAAACAAAGAGGAACUUCGCAGCUAGGCCAGUAUCGCUCUUGUAUUGCUGUACGGAGAGUAUUGGCUGAUAGGAACAAUGGCUACACGCGAGAGUAUUGGCUGAUAGGAACAACCCAUACACGAGUAUUGGCUGAUAGGAAGUAUGAUUUGUCUGAUAGGAAGUAUUG